UACAGAGGGUGCAAGCGUUGUUCGGAAUUAUUGGGCGUAAAGCGCGUGUAGGCGGCUUUGCAAGUCGGGUGUGAAAGCCCUCGGCUCAACCGAGGAAGUGCGCCCGAAACUGCAGAGCUUGAGUACCGGAGAGGAUGGCGGAAUUCCCAAGUAGAGGUGAAAUUCGUAGAUAUGGGAGGAACACCGGUGGCGAAGGCGGCCAUCUGGACGGAUACUGACGCUGAGACGCGAAAGCGUGGGAGCAAACA
rnacentral:rRNA from 1 species